GGCCCGGUAGCCCAAUUGGCAGAGGCACACGACUUAAAAUCGUGACAGUGUGGGUUCGAACCCCACCCGGGCUA
rnacentral:tRNA from 1 species